rnacentral:rRNA from 1 species
GACGAACCGAGCGAACGUUGUUCGGAAGCACUGGGCUUAAAGGGCGCGUAGGCGGGUGCUCAAGUCCGUGGGGAAAUCCUCCGGCUCAACCGGAGAACUGCCUCGGAUACUGGGUGCCUCGAGGGUGGUAGGGGUAUGCGGAACUAUCGGUGGAGCGGUGAAAUGCGUUGAUAUCGAUAGGAACUCCGGUGGCGAAGGCGGCAUACUGGACCACCUCUGACGCUGAGGCGCGAAAGCCAGGGGAGCAAACGGG